rnacentral:lncRNA from 1 species
GGGCAUCCGAACUCAGUCGGGUUUUCUGAAGAUCACAAAUAUCCCAAUAUCAGGAGAAGCACGGAACAAUUAAGGAGAGUUAUGAAUAAAUUAUCAGGAGAAAGAGGCAAGAGUUGCGUUUUCAAGUGUUGUGGACCCCCUGGGGGGAGCUACUGAUAGUAUAUCCGGAGGUUCUCGGAGUUCCAACUUCGUGGGAUGAGGGUCCCAUCGAGAGACUCCAACUUGUAUGCCCCGGGCCGCUGCACUCGGGCAAUUCGGUAUGGUCCUUCCCAAUUCGGGGCAAGCUUUCCGCGCUCGGUGGGCUGAGAAGCUUCAGCUCUUCUGAGGACGAGAUCUCCUGCCUUGAAGAGCUUGGCUUUUACUCUGGAGUUGUAGUACUGUGCCAUUUUUUGUUGAUAUCUCACCAUGCGAACACGGGUUGCCUCCCUUGUCUCUUCGAUGAAGUCCAGGUUGUCCCUGAGUUGGGAUGAGUUAGAGGCUGUGUCGUA